UCCACCCAUCCAUCCUUCAUUUGUCCAUCAUUUAUCCAUCCAUCCAUCUACUGUCCAUCCAUCCAUCCAUCUGCCCGUGGACACUCAGGUGCCUCCCUGUCUCAGCUGUGGGGCCUAACACUGCCAUGAUCGUGGGGGUGCCAGCAUCUCAUUGAGACCUGCUCUCCGUUCUCCAGGGAACAUGCCCAGAUGUGGAACAGCUGGACCAUGGACUCAUCCUGGAUCCUCCAUACUGUUUUCCAUGGCGGCCGCAGCCCACAGUGCACGGGGCUCCUGUCUGCCCACGUCCUCGCCACGGCUUGUCGGUGUCUGCUCCUCUGAGAGCAGCCGUCCUGCAGGCUGUGACGUGGGGGGUCUGUGGAUUUUUUUUUACUGUUUAUACUGAACACCUGUGUUAUAGUAAGAAAUUUAUUGAGACUUUAUGUCCUAACGUGACCAAUUUUUAUAGAUAUCCCACUUGUGCUAAAAAAGAAAGUAUAUUCUGGAAAUGUGUGCAGCAUUGCGCAUGUGUCUGUUAGGUCUGGAUUUACCAUGCAGAUCUACACCCUUACAGAAUGUUCUGUCUACCGGACGCAUCGAGUCCUCAUGCCUGGUAGGCUCUGGGGGCUGAUUCGUCUGUCUCUCUUGGCGGCUCGUGCUUGCGCUUGCGUUUAGAAUUAUUACACGUCUCUCCUGCAUCAAGCUUUCAUAAGUACAUGCUGACGCUGUGUGUCUGUAGCUGUACUUCGGCUCACAUUCUCCUUGGCCUCGUGGUAUAGAUGCCCCACCUAUCUUUUGGCCCCCAUAUUUGCCAGCCCUUCCUUCCUGCCAGGGGCUCUGAGUUUCCUUCAGGCAUCAUUUGUCUUCAGCCUGGAAAUUUUUCUUUUUUUCCCUUUUUUAAAGAUGUUUUUAAGUCUUCUCUACACCCAGUAUGGGGCUCGAACUUAACAACUCUGAGACCAUAAGUCUCAUGCUCCACCGACUGAGCCAGCCAGGUGCCCCUGAAAAUUUUUCUUUACCAUUUGUUGUAAUCGGGAAUGCUGUCUCAGCCUUCACGUACCUGAAAAUACAUUCCUUUUCCCCUAAUUUUUGAAGGCUUGUUCUCCCAGAUCCAGGAUUCUGGCUUGUCUCUUCCUUCCUGUCCUUUGAAGAAACCAUCCAUUGCCUCCUGGCUUGGCUGGCUUUCCACGAGAAAUCAGAGUGGUUUCGCUGUUUUCCCUGUCUGUAAUGUGUCCUAUUUUGUUUUUUUUUUCCCCCCCUGGAAUCUUUUGAGAUUUUCUCUUUAUUUUUGGUUUCCAGCAAGUUGGCCCCGACAUAUGUAAAAACGACCUUCUUGUGUCAGUUCAGGUAGCUUCUGCCGCAGCCGCUUCAGCCGCAGCCGCUUCUGCACUCUGAGCUCCAGCUUCACGUGUAUCCCUCCGCGGAGUAGUUCAUCCUGGGCCCAAGCCUGGUCAGCCCCCCAGUCCCUGCAGGUGGGACCCCUCCUGGAGGAGCUCCCCAACUGCCUGGACGCACACUUAGGGAGCAGAAAGCCACGAUGCUAAGUGGCAGCUGCCUGCCGCUGAGCCACAAUGCGGUCCUGUGAUUCUGGAUGGGGAAGCUGGUGCGGUGUAGACGCAAGCAAACUGAGGAGCCACCACUAAAUGAAAACCUCAAAAGCCCUACAGAUAAACCCCCAAAUGACCCCGCACGAAGACAUGAAGAUAUUCUCUGGUGACUUUUUCCUGGAAGAUUAAUAGUUUUGCUUAUAGAUUUGGAUCUGCGCUCUAUCGUGACUUAAUUUGGGGAGUGUGUGAGGGAGUGGACAUAUUCACCUGCUGUCCCAGCACUGUUUUCGGAGAAGACCUGCUUUGCACCAUUAACGAGCAUCAGUGUCUCGUCAGAGUAAAUUGGCCAUGUGCAUUCAUGGGCCUGUUUUGUUGCCUUGACCUAUGGUCGAAGAUGGUGCUGGCCUGUCUCAAUGCCCUGUCACAUCGCCAGGACUCCUGUGGCUUUAGAGUAAGCCUUGAAUCUGAUGGGGCCGUCCUCCAGUCUUUUCCUUUCUUUCAAAAAUUUUGGGCCGUUUUCGUCUUUCUGUGUUUCCAGAUGACUCAGCAAGUUUUACCAAAAAAGGCUAUUGGUAGUUUGAUGGGGAUUGUGUUAAAUCUAUGUGCCAGUUUAGGGAAGGAUUUCUGUCCCAACCUGACUGAGUUUUCCGGACACAGUUUGUGUCUCUGUGUAUUUGUCUCUGAUUUGUCAGUUAUCCACAUGAGAUCUUUCACACAUUCUGUUGGGUUUAUUCUCAUGCAUUUCAUUUUUGGUGCUGAUUUAAACAGAAUUU